UACGAGAGCUCCAAGCGUUAUCCGGAAUUACUGGGCGUAAAGCGUAUGUAGGCGGCGAUGUUAGUCUCCCGUGAAAUUCCUCGGCUUAACCGAGGCGCUGCGGGGGAAACGGCAUUGCUUUGAAUCCGUAAGAGGUCUGUGGAACUCAUCAUGUAGGGGUGAAAUCCGUUGAUAUGAUGGGGAACACCAAAGGCGAAGGCAACAGGCUGGUACGGUAUUGACGCUGAAGUACGAAAGCGUGGGUAGCGAAUGGG
rnacentral:rRNA from 1 species